rfam:Gossypium hirsutum cultivar TM-1 chromosome 15, whole genome shotgun sequence
AUGCCAUGAUGGGGAUACUUUCGCAAUAACUCCUUGAACCUCUCCCAUGUCUAAUAUAAAGAUUCUUCAUCAAGCUGCUAAAAAGUGGUAAUUUCAUUGUGAAGCUU